UAUUUAAGAUCUCCCUAUGUAGCCCAGGGCAUCUUGAAACUCCCUGUACUAAGGUCAAACUCAUAAGACUGAUUUAUGUUUUUAUUCUAAAUUCUGAUUUGUUUUGUUCUUUUAGAGAUAUUAUCGACAGCAUAUAUCUGGAAGAAGCAGAGAGUAGCAUUGUGUUUUUUUGCAUACAGCCAGCCCCAAGAAGUCUCCAAGCAGAGACCAAAGAAGCUUUGAGGAAGGAAGGAGGUUGAGAGCAGAGUUGCACCAGGCCGUUCAGAAGGGACAUCUUGAAGAGAACUCCUGGUUCUGGAGAAAGUAAGGUAAGUUCAGUGGACAGCCAAAAACCUCAUGUGAAAUCCUCUCACAGAAACAUCACCGGACUGCAAAAUCAAUG
rnacentral:lncRNA from 1 species